AUUGAACGCUGGCGGCAGGCCUAACACAUGCAAGUCGAGCGGCAGCGGGAAAGUAGCUUGCUACUUUUGCCGGCGAGCGGCGGACGGGUGAGUAAUGCCUGGGGAUCUGCCCAGUCGAGGGGGAUAACUACUGGAAACGGUAGCUAAUACCGCAUACGCCCUACGGGGGAAAGCAGGGGACCUUCGGGCCUUGCGCGAUUGGAUGAACCCAGGUGGGAUUAGCUAGUUGGUGAGGUAAUGGCUCACCAAGGCGACGAUCCCUAGCGGGUCUGAGAGGAUGAUCAGGCACACGGGAACGGAGACACGGGCCAGACUCCUACGGGAGGCAGCAGUGGGGAAGAUUGCACAAUGGGUGAAACCCUGAUGCAGCCAUGCCGCGUGUGUGAAGAAGGCCUUCGGGUUGUAAAGCACUUUCAGCGAGGAGGAAAGGUUGGUAGCUAAUAACUGCCAGCUGUGACGUUACUCGCAGAAGAAGCACCGGCUAACUCCGUGCCAGCCGCCGCCGUAAAAC
rnacentral:rRNA from 1 species